rnacentral:rRNA from 1 species
UAGGGAAUCUUCGGCAAUGGACGAAAGUCUGACCGAGCAACGCCGCGUGAGGGAAGAAGGUUUUCGGAUCGUAAAACUCUGUUGUUAGAGAAGAACAAGGACGGUAGUAACUGAACGUCCCCUGACGGUAUCUAACCAGAAAGCCACGGCUAACUACGUGUCAGCAGCAGCGGUAAUAUGUAGGUGGCAAGCGUUGUCCGGAUUUAUUGGGCGUAAAGCGAGCGCAGGCGGUUUCUUAAGUCUGAUGUGAAGGCCCCCGGCUCAACCGGGGAGUGUCAUUGGAAACUGGGAGACUUUAGUGCAUAAGAGGAGCGUGGAAUUCCCUGUGUAGCUGUAAAUUGCGUCGAUUUAUGGAGGAACACCAGUGGCGCAGGCUGCUCUCUGGUCUGUAACUGACCCUGUGUCUCGAAAGCGUGGGGAGCAAACAGG